rnacentral:rRNA from 1 species
UUAGGGCACGACACCGGAGAGGGAGCCUGAGAACGGCUACCACAUCCCAGGAUGGCAGCAGGCGCGCAAAUUACCCAAUCCCGACACGGGGAGGUAGUGACAAUAAAUAACAAUACGGGGUUCUUUAGGAUCUCGUAAUUGGAAUGAGUACAAUUUAAAUCUCUUAACGAGGAACAAUUGGAGGGCAAGUCUGGUGCCAGCAGCCGCGGUWAWUUCCNGCUCCAAUAGCGUAUAUUAAAGUUGUUGCAGUUAAAAAGCUCGUAGUUGAAUUUCGGGGUUAGUAGGUUGGUCAUGCCUCUGGUAUGUACUGGUCUCACUGAUUCCUCCUUCCUGAUGAGCCGUAAUGCCAUUAAUUUGGUGUUGCGGGGAAUUUGGACUGUUACUUUGAAAAAAUUAGAGUGUUUAAAGCAAGCUAACGCUUGAAUACAUUAGCAUGGAAUAAUGAAAUAGGACGUUCGAUCCUAUUUUGUUGGUUUCUAGGAUUGACGUAAUGAUUAAUAGGGAUAGUUGGGGGGCAUUANUAUUCAAUUGUCAGANGUGAAAUUCUUGNAUUUAUUGAANACUAACUACUGCGAAAGCAUUUGCCAAGGAUGUUUUCAUUAAUCAAGAACGAAAGUUAGGGGAACGGAAAANNAUCAAAUACCGUCGUAAUCUUAACCAUAAACUAUGCCCACUAGGAUCGGAUGAUGUUAAUUUUUUAAUGACUCAGUC